GGGGCGGGGAGCGCUCGCCUCAGGACCAGGGCCCGCUCUGGGAGCUCUGCUCUGGCUGCCGCGGCGGUGGCAGUGUCGGCACCAGACAGAGCCGCUGGGAGGGGACGCUGCGGCGCAGAGCUCGAGUGUAGAAAGUGCCUCGACUGGUCUCUUGGGGCGAGAGUGCACAAUGGACAGGGCUGCAGUCGGUGUGCCCUAGUUGAGGUCCUCCCGCAGCAGGUGGCUGAGCUGCGGGAGGCUGCUGGUGAGCUAAAAGCUGCCAGGGAAGCUGAGAAGAAGCUGGGCUGAUUGCUCCAGGCCCAAACCGUGCAGGGGCCGCAAACGUCCAGCACUGCUCACCCAGGAAAAAAGGAGGGCAACAACCCAGGAAGCUGGGAACUAGUAACAAGAAAAACCAACAAAAAAAGGAGGAAGAGGACAAUUAACAGCAAGGGGCUUCCUCAUAAAUCCGAUGUCCCCAACCAGAACCACUUCUCAGUUCUGCAGGGGGCUAAUGAGAAAGCACCCACCACACCUAAUGAAGAUCCUGCUGAUGCACCAGUAAAGAGGAUCACUACUGGUGCCUCCAGGAAAAAGCGGAGGGUCAUAGUAGUAGGGGACUCUACUUUGAAAGGCACAGAGGCACCCAUCUGCCGGCCUGACCCAGUCUCGAGGGAGGUGUGCUGCCUGCUGGGGGCUCGGAUCAGGGAUGUUUCUGAGAGGCUGCCUGGUCUAUAUGACUGUAUCUGUGUCAAGGACAACUUAGCAAAGAGCAAGGGAAGAAAACUCCUCCAAACUUCCCUUCAGCAUGAGGUCAGUUUCUAUGGGGACACGAAAAAGCUACUGAGCCAACCAAGAAACCAUCACUUUCACAGCCUGCCGAAGGAGAGCAAUACUAGUAAGCUGAUGAACAGGCUGCAGCGACAGGAUUGCCCAAAGCUCUAAUGGAACAGGAACAUCUGAAGACAAAUCACCAAGUCCCACAGAAUAUUACAGCAAAACUGUGCAAAAUCAUCCCUGGAGAACAGGAUUGCCACUGUGAGCCGGUCAUUCUGUAAGCAGGUCACUGCUUCUUUCAGUGCUGAACAUUGGACCCAAACCACUAUAAUGCGUUUUGACCUCUUGAGCAACUCUUAUCCCAGUCCAUAGUCCUUUUUGAUUUCAGCACGAUCAGCAAUUACACAACACAUCGUGAGUGCACAAAUGAGCUACCAGAGGUUAACAAAUUCCAUCUGCUCUGACAACCUGCAGUAACUUCUGCACACAGAAGUCACUUUGGCCUGCUAUGAAAAUUACCUGUAGUUCUCCUGACUACUUUUUAAGCAUAAAACAAUAAGACUGCAGGUAAUGAGAUAACACCAAAAUAACUUGUUAAAUGUUACAGUUGAGUGCUAGCACCUUCCUACCAAGAAAACAUCAUAAGAAGUUCCUCCCAAUAAACAGUGUUUCCCUAAU